rnacentral:rRNA from 1 species
GACGAACGCUGGCGGCGUGCCUAAUACAUGCAAGUCGAGCGCAGGAAACUGACGGAACUCUUCGGAGGGAAGGCAGCGGAAUGAGCGGCGGACGGGUGAGUAACACGUAAGGAACCUGCCUCAAGGAUUGGGAUAACUCCGAGAAAUCGGAGCUAAUACCGGAUAGUUCAUCGGACCGCAUGGUCCGUUGAUGAAAGGCGCUCCGGCGUCACCUUGAGCUGGCCUUGCGGUGCAUUAGCUAGUUGGUGGGGUAACGGCCCACCAAGGCGACGAUGCAUAGCCGACCUGAGAGGGUGAUCGGCCACACUGGGACUGAGACACGGCCCAGACUCCUACGGGAGGCAGCAGUAGGGAAUCUUCCACAAUGGACGAAAGUCUGAUGGAGCAACGCCGCGUGAGUGAUGAAGGUUUUCGGAUCGUAAAACUCUGUUGUAAGGGAAGAACACGUACGAGAGGAAAUGCUCGUACCUUGACGGUACCUUACGAGAAAGCCACGGCUAACUACGUGCCAGCCGCCGCGGUAA